AACCUCUGCAAUGCGGGAAACCGUGACAGGGGGAUCCCAAGUGCUCAUGCAUUGCAUGGGCUUGUUCUUUGGUCUAAGUAACCAGAGGAGUAAGGGCUGGGCAAGACCGGUGCCAGCCGCCGCGGUAAUACCGGCAGCUCAAGUGGUAGCCGCGAUUAUUGGGCCUAAAGCGUUCGUAGCCGGAUAAGUAAGUCUUUGGUUAAAUCCUGCGACUUAACCGUGGGAAAUCUAGAGAUACUGCUUGUCUUGAGACCGGGAGAGGUUGGAGGUACUCCCAGGGUAGGGGUGAAAUCUUGUAAUCCUUGAAGGACCACCAGUGGCGAAGGCGUCUCACCAGAACGGACCUGACGGCAAGGGACGAAAGCUAGGGGCACGAACCGGAUUAGAUACCCGGGUAG
rnacentral:rRNA from 1 species